AGAGUUUGAUCAUGGCUCAGGAUGAACGCUAGCUACAGGCUUAACACAUGCAAGUCGAGGGGCAGCAUGGUCUUAGCUUGCUAAGGCCGAUGGCGACCGGCGCACGGGUGAGUAACGCGUAUCCAACCUGCCUUACACUCUUGGACAGCCUUCUGAAAGGGAGAUUAAUACAAGAUGUUAUCAUGAGUAAGCAUUUUCACAUGAUUAAAGGUUUACCGGUGUAAGAUGGGGAUGCGUUCCAUUAGAUAGUAGGCGGGGUAACGGCCCACCUAGUCUUCGAUGGAUAGGGGUUCUGAGAGGAAGGUCCCCCACAUUGGAACUGAGACACGGUCCAAACUCCUACGGGAGGCAGCAGUGAGGAAUAUUGGUCAAUGGACGAGAGUCUGAACCAGCCAAGUAGCGUGAAGGAUGAAGGUUCUAUGGAUUGUAAACUUCUUUUAUACGGGAAUAAACGAAUCCACGUGUGGAUUUUUGCAUGUACCGUAUGAAUAAGGAUCGGCUAACUCCGUGCCAGCAGCCGCGGUAAUACGGAGGAUCCGAGCGUUAUCCGGAUUUAUUGGGUUUAAAGGGAGCGUACAUGGGUUGUU
rnacentral:rRNA from 1 species